rnacentral:rRNA from 1 species
AGAGUUUGAUCAUGGCUCAGAGUGAACGCUGGCGGCGUGCUUAACACAUGCAAGUCGAACGAGAACGGCUCUAGCUUGCUAGAGUGUCAGCUAAGUGGCGCACGGGUGAGUAAUAUAUAGUUAACCUGCCUCAAAGAAGGGAAUAAUUGUUGGAAACGACUUGUAAUGCCCUGUAUGCCUUUAUUACAUAAGUAAGCAAGGGAAACAUUUAUGGCUUUGAGAUGGGACUGUACGGUAUCAGUUUGUUGGUGAGGUAAUGGCUCACCAAGACUAUGACGCCUAACUGGUUUGAGAGGAUGAUCAGUCACACUGGAACUGAGACACGGUCCAGACUCCUACGGGAGGCAGCAGUGGGGAAUAUUGCACAAUGGACGAAAGUCUGAUGCAGCAACGCCGCGUGGAGGAUGACACAUUUCGGUGCGUAAACUCCUUUUAUAUGAGAAGAUAAUGACGGUAUCAUAUGAAUAAGCACCGGCUAACUUCGUGCCAGCAGCCGCGGUAAUACGAGGGGUGCAAGCGUUACUCGGAAUCACUGGGCGUAAAGAGCAUGUAGGCGGGUAAUUAAGUUGGAAGUGAAAUCCUAUGGCUCAACCAUAGAACUGCUUCCAAAACUGAUUACCUAGAGUAUGGGAGAGGUAGAUGGAAUUUCUGGUGUAGGGGUAAAAUCCGUAGAGAUCAGAAGGAAUACCGAUUGCGAAGGCGAUCUACUGGAACAUUACUGACGCUAAGAUGCGAAAGCGUGGGGAGCAAACAGGAUUAGAUACCCUGGUAGUCCACGCCC